rnacentral:rRNA from 1 species
AGAGUUUGAUCCUGGCUCAGGAUGAACGCUAGCUACAGACUUAACACAUGCAAGUCGAGGGGAAACGACAUCGAAAGCUUGCUUUUGAUGGGCGUCGACCGGCGCACGGGUGAGUAACGCGUAUCCAACCUGCCCACCACUUGGGGAUAACCUUGCGAAAGUAAGACUAAUACCCAAUGACGUCUCUAGAAGACAUCUGAAGGGGAUUAAAGAUUUAUCGGUGAUGGAUGGGGAUGCGUCUGAUUAGCUUGUUGGCGGGGUAACGGCCCACAAGGCUACGAUCAGUAGGGGUUCUGAGAGGAAGGUCCCCCANAUUGGAACUGAGACACGGUCCAAACUCCUACGGGAGGCA